rnacentral:snRNA from 1 species
GUGUAGUAUCUGUUCUUAUCAGUUUAAUAUCUGAUACGUCCUCUAUCUGAGGAC